GACGAACGCUAGCGGCGUGCUUAACACAUGCAAGUCGAACGGAAAGGCCCUGCUUUUGUUUGGUGCUCGAGUGGCGAACGGGUGAGUAACACGUGUGUAACCUGCCCUCGACAGUGGGAUAACUUCAGGAAACUGGGGCUAAUACCGGAUAGGAGCUCCUGCUGCAUGGUGGGGGUGGGUAAGCUUCGGCGGUUGGUGAUGGACUCGCGGCUUAGCAGCAUGUUGGUGGGGUAGUGGCUUAACAAGGCUUUGACGAGUAGCGGGCCUGAGAGGGUGACCGGGCACAGGGGGACUGAGCUACGGCACAGACUCGUAGGGGAGACAGGAGUGGGGAUUCUAGCACAAUGCGCGGAUGCCUGAUGCAGCAACGCCGCGUGCGGGAUGACGGCCUUCGGGUUGUAAACCGCUUUCGCCUGUGACGAAGCGUGAGGGACGGUAAUGGGUAAAGAAGCACCGGCUAACUACGU
rnacentral:rRNA from 1 species